rnacentral:rRNA from 1 species
AUGCUUCAGUUGGUCAGAUGGAGCAUAAAUGCUGUCAGCAAAUGUGUUAUCAGCAAGAUACUAGAUGCAUGGGAGUUGACUACAUAUGUUGUGGCUAAGAUCGAUAGAAGAGAGAAGAAGUUUGAAGUGCGCUGUGAGAUGAAGGAAGGUUCUUUGUAUAGGAUAAGUUGUUCUUGUCGUAAGCUAGAAUGCUUGGGAACACCAUGCUCUCACAUAUUCUACAUCUUGGGAAUACGUCAAGUGGAAGUGCUGCCUAGGUGUUGUGUUCCCAUGAGGUGGACGAUGAGUGCGAAGUCUGCAUUCCCUCCGACCAGAAAGAGUGAGAUGUACGACUACUCGGCAAGCCUUGUGAGGUACCGUGAGUUGCGGAAUUUGAGUCACGCAGCAUGUUUCCGGGCAUGUCAAUCUAGUGAGGAGUAUCAGCGUCUGAAGAUGAUUCUGAGUGAACAAGAUGGCAGCAAGGAAUCAAGCCGUGGUCAGGAGGAAUGCAUUAGGUUUGGUCCGGUGCUACCACAGACGAUGGAAAUUGAUUGUGGAGAUUUGGAAAAGGUUCUGGACCCAGUGCAUGUGCAAGGCCGAGGUGCACCGAAGAAAAGGUUGCAGGCAAAGAUGAAGAAGCAAAGGUCAAAGAGGAAAUGUGGCUACUGUGGGGUGGAAGGUCAUGAUCGGUGUACAUGCAAUAAAUUGAAAGAGCAAACUGUUAGCUACAACUCUCUGUACAAGGCCAUUGGCAAAAUGGACGCAGCUGCUGAGCCUCAAGAGAGUGAUGUUGUGUUGGUGACGAAGUGGCCCAACCGCCUCUAUCCUAUGGUUGCCAUGUGA